CAGCCGCCGCGGUAAUGCGUAGGUGGCAAGCGUUGUCCGGAAUUAUUGGGCGUAAAGGGCUCGCAGGCGGUUUCUUAAGUCUGAUGUGAAAGCCCCUGGCUCAACCGGGGAGGGUCAUUGGAAACUGGGAAACUUGAGUGCAGAAGAGGAGAGUGGAAUUCCACGUGUAGCGGUGAAAUGCGUAGAGAUGUGGAGGAACACCAGUGGCGAAGGCGACUCUCUGGUCUGUAACUGACGCUGAGGAGCGAAAGCGUGGGGAGCGAACAGGAUUAGAUACCCCUGUAGUCCCUGUCUCUUAUAU
rnacentral:rRNA from 1 species